UGUGAGGUGAAGUCAGAUUGUUGACUGA
rnacentral:piRNA from 1 species